rnacentral:rRNA from 1 species
GACGAACGCUGGCGGCGUGCUUAACCCAUGCAAGUCGAACGAAGUGGCGAACGGGUGAGUAACGCGUAAUCAACCUGCCCUUCAGAGGGGGACAACAGUUGGAAACGACUGCUAAUAACGCAUACUGAAGGAGGGGACUGCGGCGGAUUAGCUAGUUGGAGGGGUAACGGCCACCAACGGCGAUGAUCAGUAGCCGGUCUGAGAGGCUGAACGGCCACCUUGGGACUGAGACACGGCCCAGACUCCUACGGGAGGCAGCAGUGGGGAUAUUUCCGCAAUGGACGAAAGUCUUACGGAGCAACGCCGCGUGAGUGAUGACGGCCUUCGGGUUGUAAAGCUCUGUUAAUCGGGACGCGGUACCGGAAUAGAAAGCCACGGCUAACUACGUGCCAGCGGCCGCGGUAAUAC